AUUGAACGCUAGCGGGAUGCUUUACACAUGCAAGUCGAACGAGUGGCGGACGGGUGAGUAGUAUAUGGGAACGUGCCCAGUAGCGGGGGAUAACUACUCGAAAGAGUGGCUAAUCCCGCAUACUAUUGGAGCGGCCGAUAUCGGAUUAGCUAGUGGGUGGGGUAAAGGCUAACGAAGGCAACGAUCCGGAGCGGGUUUGAGAGGAGGACCAGCCACACUGGGACUGAGACACGGCCCAGACUCCUACGGGAGGCAGCAGUGGGGAAUUUUGGACAAUGGGGGAAACCCUGAUCCAGCCAUCCCGCGUGUAUGAGAAGGCCUUCGGGUUGUAAAGUACUUUUGGCAGAGAAGCGGUAUCUGAAGAAUAAGCAACGGCUAACUACGUGCCAGCAGCCGCGGUAAUAC
rnacentral:rRNA from 1 species